GGUCUGGUGGUCUAGUGGUAUGAUUCGCGCUUAGGGUGCGCGAGGUCCCGGGUUCAAUCCCCGGCCAGACCC